UGCUUCUUCUGAUUUAGCGGCGGACGGGUGAGUAACACGUGGGCAACCUACCUAGUAGAUUGGGAUAACUCCGGGAAACCGGGGCUAAUACCGAAUAAUCCAUUUUGUCACAUGGCAAAAUGCUGAAAGGCGGUUUCGGCUGUCACUACUAGAUGGGCCCGCGGUGCAUUAGCUAGUUGGUGGGGUAACGGCCUACCAAGGCAACGAUGCAUAGCCGACCUGAGAGGGUGAUCGGCCACAUUGGGACUGAGACACGGCCCAAACUCCUACGGGAGGCAGCAGUAGGGAAUCUUCCACAAUGGACGAAAGUCUGAUGGAGCAACGCCGCGUGAGUGAUGAAGGUUUUCGGAUCGUAAAACUCUGUUGUAAGGGAAGAACAAGUACGUUAGUAACUGAACGUACCUU
rnacentral:rRNA from 1 species